rnacentral:rRNA from 1 species
AUUGAACGCUGGCGGCAGGCUUAACACAUGCAAGUCGAGCGGGGUGAUGGUGCUUGCACUAUCACUUAGCGGCGGACGGGUGAGUAAUGCUUAGGAAUCUGCCUAUUAGUGGGGGACAACAUCUCGAAAGGGAUGCUAAUACCGCAUACGUCCUACGGGAGAAAGCAGGGGAUCACUUGUGACCUUGCGCUAAUAGAUGAGCCUAAGUCGGAUUAGCUAGUUGGUGGGGUAAAGGCCUACCAAGGCGACGAUCUGUAGCGGGUCUGAGAGGAUGAUCCGCCACACUGGGACUGAGACACGGCCCAGACUCCUACGGGAGGUAGCAGUGGGGAAUUUUGGACAAUGGGGGGAACCCUGAUCCAGCCAUGCCGCGUGUGUGAAGAAGGCCUUAUGGUUGUAAAGCACUUUAAGCGAGGAGGAGGCUCUUUUGGUUAAUACCCAAGAUGAGUGGACGUUACUCGCAGAAUAAGCACCGGCUAACUCUGUGCCAGCCGCCGCAGUAA